AGAGUUUGAUCAUGGCUCAGAAUCAACGCUGGCGGCGUGCCUAACACAUGCAAGUCGAGCGAGAAAAGGGGAGCAAUCCCCUGAGUACAGCGGCGCACGGGUGAGUAACACGUGGGUAAUCUGCCCUAGAGUGGGGAAUAACACCGGGAAACCGGUGCUAAUACCGCAUACGUUACGAGAUCUGCGGAUUUCGUAAUAAAAGGAGCAAUUCGCUCUAGGAGGAGCCCGCGGCUGAUUAGCUAGUUGGUGAGGUAAUGGCUCACCAAGGCUACGAUCAGUAUCCGGUCUGAGAGGACGGUCGGACACACUGGAACUGAGACACGGUCCAGACUCCUACGGGAGGCAGCAGUGGGGAAUUUUUGGCAAUGGGGGAAACCCUGACCAAGCAACGCCGCGUGGAUGAUGAAGUCUCUUGGGACGUAAAAUCCUUUCGACAGGGAAGAAACCCGCAAGGGUGACGGUACCUUAGAAGAGC
rnacentral:rRNA from 1 species